ensembl:lncRNA
AUGGCAUUCAAGCGCGCAAAAUAUGAGGGGCUUCCCACUCUAUAUAAGGCAGCGCUUGUUCAUCAUCCAUUCAGAAUCUCUUCGUUUAGCCAACCUUCUAUGAGAAGCAAGAAGCCUAUCAACAAGAGUACUCACCGUGAUCAACACAUUGCAGCAGACACGCCUUCUCUCCCCUGCUGUGUUCUGAGGAUGAGAGUAAAAUGGUACAUUCUGUCUGGCAGCAGUGUACUUCUGGGAAGAUGCAGUAUACUUCCAUUUCCUGGAAUAUGUUUAUGGAAGGUGGAAACAGCAGAAGACAAUGCUGUUGUGUUCUGGAAACACAGAAUACACAAUCAAUUGAAUGUUUACAUUAAGGGAAUCAAGUAUUUACUGUAUUUGUACCGUACCUCUAUAGUGUAACCCCACUGGAACUGAAACAGUUUGUUUUCCUUCUCCUCUGAAUCUGGAUCAAAAGGCUCCAUUGCAUCCAAAAUCAGAUCAUACUGACUAGACCAGAACCUGUGAGAACCACCGUUAAUCCCAGGCACCAACUCACUGUGGACCACGGUAAGCUGAAUUCUCCUGUUCUGCUCAAGAUAAGUUCCUGGAAGUCUGGCAGUAAAAGUCAGACAGUAGUUUCCCACUUUCAGAGCGUGCUUUGGCAGAGAAAGAAGCGGUGUUGUGACAUCCACUGAAUCAUUUAAGGACACCUUGUCCAUUCCUGAGCAAUCUUGGCCCUUGAAGAUCUCCCAGAAAUAAUAUGCUUUGUGUGUAACACAACUGUUAAAGCCCAUUCUUGCUUUCAAGUCACUUGGUCUGGAUUUUAAUAUUUUAUAUUGUUCUUUUGAAAUGAAGAUAUGUGGCUGGGUACACUGCAGUUUUUGUACUUCAACUGUUAUGUUGUUGAAAGCUGUUAAUUUUACAAAAAAACUCAUCAAGUAACAUUAUAUUUGUGGACAUUUCUAUUGGAUUCUGUAACCAGGACUCCUUCACUGCCAUCACCAAAAUCCCAAAGUAUUUAAGGUUGCUGCUUCCAUCUGUGGUAGCAACAAAUGCGAUCGGAUAAUCAAUGAAAGCUCCAUCAUGGGUGUUAAAUAGCUUCACUUUCUUCACAUGCUUCUGUAUUGUUGCUGUACUGGUCAGGGGUCUGUGAACAGAAGCCAUUAUCAGCUUCCACUGUAACAGACAGGGAUCCAUUAGUGAAAGUUGUGAAGUGAACAUUUUGCCCAAUUUCCAGAGAGGACUGUGCUCCAUUUAAUAGGAAAGUCCAGUGGUAAUUGGCUUGUGAGCCACUGGACACUUGAAAACUGAUGUUUUUGGAUGCCUCCAGGACAGCAAAGCAACAUCCGAUCAAAUGCAGACCUUUAAUUCUCUCCACAACUCUGACAAUCACUGAUGCACUUUGGUAAAUGACAUGAUUUGUUGCUGUUGCUCUUACAAGGUGGUUUCGGACUGAAAGAGAAGAGGUGGUACAAUUCUGCCAAAUGUCCACAUAAUAACUUUAACAAACGCAUUAACAAAAGCAUUAACAAACUCCAAAGAAAAGGAAACUUCACUUCCUUGGGAGAAAGAUGGUGUGGAAGUAACUGGAUCGUCUUCACAUACAGUACAACAUCACUGCUAGCCGUAAGUAAAAGUCCCUGGAUGGCUUCCUGAACUGAAACAGUUUGCCAGCUAAUGUCAUUUGAGGCAUUAAGUGAGAUACAGCGAUCUGCAACAUCCGCAAAAGAAUAGCUAACAGUUUGAUUGUCUGCAAGAACCAUAACAGUUUUAUUGUGAAACAUCAAAACCCAUUCCCAAUGCAGGACAUUUUCUGUUCCUGCAGAGCCAUGGAGCAACAGGAGGCUAUUUGAUUUUACAAACAGUGGUCUGAAUUGUCCAUCUAUUUGAAAGUCCACUUUAUAUGUUCUCCUGAAUUAUUAGUAGCUUGGUUGCAUCAUCAGACCCAAAUACAUUUGAGACUGAUACCCUGAUCUUGACCACACAGAUAACUUUAAAAACAUGCAGAACAGAAGGCAUAUCUGAUAAUACAAGACUGCUCUCAGAAUCCAAUAACCAUGAGUACCGAAGGUCUGUUCCAGAUGACACACUCACAAAUAUCCUCACUGGCUUUCCUUUGGCUAAAGUAUUCAUUGGUGAUUAAAUACUCAGAUCAGACACAAGCUCUACUGCUCUCAGUGAAAGGUCGUUAUCUACUGAUCCAAGAACUUGGAUACUACCAGCUUGAUGUAUUUACAUAUGUCACCAGGACUGUUUGUAAAAAGUUUGUUUGCUAUUACUUGCCAUUCUUUGGUUUGCAGUCGACUCAUAUGUCAAGUUAGAACCACAUGUCACUGAUGCCAUCAAGAGCAUGGUCUGAUUUGUCAGAAAAUAUCUUGUAGACUUUAGCCCUUGAGAUUGAAUUUGUUCCCCAUGUAUUCUCUUUACAAUCUCUAUGUGCGUUAUGGAUUCUACUCGACUGACAAGAUUUUGUGCUGUGACUUUAAUCUGAAACACCCCUGCUUUAGGAAACACAUGCACGAACAUGGACAUCCCAGACUUUUGGAGGUGAUGAAGGAUUCACAGUCCAAUAAAACACAUCAUUUUCAUUAACAUCAGUCUGAGCUGUUAUCAGUAUCUUUUUUUCCAGCCUCCUCAAAUGGCUGACUAGUAUUAACCAUUAAGUAUGACAGUGGUGCCUGCACUUCAAUCUCUUUAGACACAGAAUGUGAACUUAUCAUAUUGGAUGCGGUGGCUGUUACACGAAACUGUCCAGGAAAACAGAAAACCUGUGAUUGAUUCUGACCCUCCUUUUUGAAACCAUCACCAAAGUCCCACUGAAAAGAAGCUAUUUUACCAGGAAGCUCAGCCCAAAAGUAAUAGGACUGAUUAACAGUCAUUGCAUCAUGGUUACCAUCAUAUUUUAUGGAUAGAUUAGGCCUGUAUUAGGAUACAGGCCUUUGAACUGUAAUGGUUGUUUUUGCUGUUCCU